AUGGCAGAGGAAGGGGGCGGCGCGGAGGAGAAGGCCGUCGUCGGGGCAGGAGAGCAGGAGGGGCAGAUCGUCGUCGCCGGAGCGGCGUACGAGGAGGAGGAGACGGACGGCGGAGGAGGAGCCGCAGGAGACGAGGAGAUCGGCAGGGGCGACGGCCAGUUCAUAUUCAUUCCGCCGCCGGGGUUCCGGUUCAGGCCGAGCGACGACGAGCUGAUCAGGUACUACCUGCUCCCCAAGCUGCAGGGCCGGGGCCACGCGCCCAACCGGGCCAUCAUCGAGCACAACGUGUACCAGUGCCACCCGGACGAGCUCGUCGGACAAUACAGGGGCCGGGGAGAGGGCAAGAGCUUCUACUUCCUGUCGCCGAGGGUGCGCCGGUACGACAACGGGGACCGGCCGCGGCGGGACACGGACGACGGCCGCGGGCGGUGGAAGGUGUCGACGGGCAAGAAGGACAUGGGGGAGGAGAAGAAGGUGGCCGGCGACGGCACCACCCGCUACUGCAUGAGCGUGCUCAACUACUUCGAGAGCCCCAGAGGCGGCGGGCGCAAGUCUGAGUGGCUCAUGAGGGAGCUCACCGUCCCGGCGUACGAGAUCAAGCUCCCCAAGGACGGCGGCCCUGGCGGCAAGACGUUGGAUAGGUACGUGAUGUGCAAGAUUUACCUCAAAGACGACAAAGGCGACGACGACGAGGAGGCAGGGCCCAGCAGCGCCUCGCCGCUGCACCUGCACGGGCCGGUGGAGGGCGACGAAGGGGCGACGUCGGCGGAGCUUCCAAAGCUUUCGAAGAAACUGGCGGGCAAGAGGCCCGCGGAGGACCAGCAGCUGCGGCACGCCACCGCCGCCGCGAGGAAGCGGGCUCACCACUCCUCAAAAUGCCUGCAAAUCGAGCCGCCAGCACCACCGCUACAAGGCAACGGCAUGCAGGCUCCGUUCAGCACGCCGGGAUGCUCAUACUACGGUGGAUCAGGGCAGCCCAUGCUCAUGGGGUAUCACGCUGGCGCGGCGCCGAUGCCGCGGCCAAUGCUGGCGUACAACAACGGCCAGGUGCACGUGCCGCGGCAGCAGGUGGCGUACAACGGGCAGAUGCCGGCGAUGGCGCGACAGCCGGCGGCGUACAACGGGCAGGUAGCGUACAACGGGCAGAUGCCGGCGAUGGCGCGACAGCCGGCGGCGUACAACGGGCAGGUGGCGUACAACGGGCAGAUGCCGGCGAUGGCGCGACAGCCGGCGGCGUACAACGGGCAGGUGGCGUACAACGGGCAGAUGCCGGCGAUGGCGCGACAGCCGGCGGCGUACAACGGGCAGGCGCCGGUGAUGGCGCGACAGCCGUUGGCGUACAACGGGCAGGUGCCGGUGAGGCAGCAGCAGGUGGCGUUCAACGGGCAGGUGCGGCCGCCGCCGUGCCGGCUCGCAGGUAGCCCCCCCAACAGCUAUGGUCAGAAUCUGACAAUGAUGGCGCGGCCGUCGUGCCCGGCCGGCCAAGCAGUGAACCCGCAGAUGCAGAAGCAGCCGGAGACGGAUGAGAUGCGCGAGAAGCGGGUGCUUCAACAGAACCUGGAGGAACACCUCCGGAUGCAGUCGUUGACGCAGCAGCAGCAGCUUGCGAUGGCGUCCACGCAGCAGCAGCGGCAGGCGAUGGCAUUCAUGAUGCGCCAGCAGCAGCAAUGGACGAUGUCGUUCAUGAUGCACCAGCAGCAGCAGCACCAUCAGCAGCAGCAACAGUACUUGGGCGGCGCCAACGCGAAUUACUAUCACCACGAAGGGGCCAUGGUGCUCCAGACGACGAGCAGUUCUCCAGGAGAGGCGGCGCUGGUAACAGCAGACGGUUCGCCGGUCAGUACGGUGGUGUCUGUGGAGGGAAACGAGGAGGACUGCAACAACAACGGGGAUUGCAGCAGCCAUGGUCGGGAGGAGUCUGCGGCUUCGCCGGGCGGGGUGACGGCGCCGGCAUCGGCAUCGGCAGAGGGUGAUGGCCCCCAGCGUGCAUGA
rnacentral:rRNA from 1 species